rnacentral:rRNA from 1 species
UACGGGGGGGGCAAGCGUUGUUCGGAAUUACUGGGCGUAAAGGGCUCGUAGGUGGCCAACUAAGUCAGACGUGAAAUCCCUCGGCUUAACCGGGGAACUGCGUCUGAUACUGGAUGGCUUGAGUUUGGGAGAGGGACGCGGAAUUCCAGGUGUAGGCGGUGAAAUGCGUAGAUAUCUGGAGGAACACCGGUGGCGAAGGCGGCGUCCUGGACCAACACUGACCACUGAGGAGCGAAAGCCAGGGGAGCAAACGGGAUUAGAUACCCCGAG